UCCCGGCGGUCCAAGUCGCAUCCACAAUUAUUGGGUCUAAAACAUCCGUAGCUUGUUUUGUAAGUUUCUUGUGAAAUCCCAAAUCUCAAAUUUGGGGCGUGCAAGAAAUACUGCUUUACUAGAGACCGGAAGACGCAAAGAGUACGUUUGAGGUAGUGGUAAAAUAUGUUAAUCUUGAACGGACUAACAAUGGCGAAGGCACUUUGCGAGUACGGUUCUGACAGUGAGGGAUGAAGGCUAGGGGCGCAAAAGG
rnacentral:rRNA from 1 species